UCAAGUUAUUAAGGGUGCAGGGCGGAUGCCUUGGCACUAGGAGCCGAUGAAGGACGUGAUAAGCUGCGAUAAGCUUCGGGGAGUUGCACGUAAACUUUGAUCCGAAGAUUUCCGAAUGAGGAAACUCACUUAGAGUAAUGUCUAAGUAUCAUUAAGUGAAUACAUAGCUUAAUGAGGGGAACUCAGGGAACUGAAACAUCUAAGUACCUGAAGGAAGAGAAAGAAAUUCGAUUCCGUAAGUAGCGGCGAGCGAACGCGGAUUAGCCCAAACCAAUAAAGUUUUCUUUAUUGGGGUUGCGGACAUAUCAUAACGAAGAGGUAUCGUAAUUGAAGAGGUUUGGAAAGACCCACCACAGAAGGUAAUAGUCCUGUAUGUUAAACGAGAAGACUUCAGAUAUGAUCCAGAGUACCACGGGACACGUGAAACCCUGUGGGAAGCAGGAGGGACCACCCUCCAAGGCUAAAUACUACCUAGUGACCGAUAGCGUAUAGUACCGUGAGGGAAAGGUGAAAAGAACCCCGGGAGGGGAGUGAAAUAGAACCUGAAACCCUGCACUUACAAGCUGUGGAAGCACAUUUCUUGUGUGACCGCGUACUUUUUGUAGAACGGGCCAACGAGUUACGUUAAGUAGCAAGGUUAAGCACUUAAGGUGCGGAGCCGUAGCGAAAGCGAGUUUUAACUGAGCGUUCAGUUACUUGACGUAGACCCGAAACCGGGCGACCUACCCAUGAGCAGGAUGAAGCGAAAGUAAAAUUUCGUGGAGGUCCGAACCCACGAGCGUUGAAAAGCUCGGGGAUGACUUGUGGGUAGCGGUGAAAUUCCAAUCGAGCCCGGAGAUAGCUGGUUCUCCCCGAAAUAGCUUUAGGGCUAGCCUCAAGGUGAGAGAUACGGAGGUAGAGCACUGAAUGUCCUAGGGGGUAUUGCACCUACCGAAGACUAUCAAACUCCGAAUGCCGUCAUCUUAUACUUGGGAGUCAGACUGUGGGUGAUAAGAUUCAUAGUCGAAAGGGCAACAGCCCAGAUCGUCAGCUAAGGUCCCUAAAUGUAAGUUAAGUGGUAAAGGAUGUGGGAUUGCACAGACAACCAGGAUGUUGGCUUAGAAGCAGCCACUCAUUCAAAGAGUGCGUAAUAGCUCACUGGUCGAGUGAUCCUGCGCCGAAGAUUUCCGGGGCUAAAACUUACUACCGAAGCUACGGCAUCAGUAAUGAUGGGUAGGGGAGCUUCCCAUACGGGUUGAAGCGUGACCGUAAGGACAUGUGGACAGUAUGGGAGUGAGAAUGUUGGCAUGAGUAGCGAGAUGUGGGUGAGAAUCCCACAGGCCGUAAACCCAAGGUUUCCAGGGGAAGGUUCGUCCGCCCUGGGUUAGUCGGGACCUAAGCUGAGGCCGAAAGGCGUAGGUGAUGGACAACAGGUUGAUAUUCCUGUACUACCGAUAACCGUUUGAGAGAAGGGAUGACACAGUAGGAUAAGCUAAGCACACUGUUGGUUAUGUGUGCCCAAGCAUUGAGGCAGUCAAAGUAGGCAAAUCCGCUUUGAUAAUGCUGGGAUGUGAUGGGGAGCGAAAUUUAGUAGCGAAGUAGCUGAUUUCACACUGUCAAGAAAAGUCUCUAUCGAGGUUAAAGGUACCCGUACCGCAAACCGACACAGGUGGGUGAGGAGAGUAUCCUAAGGCCAGCGAGAGAACUGUUGUUAAGGAACUCGGCAAAAUGACCCCGUAACUUAGGGAUAAGGGGUGCCACCAUCAGGUGGCCGCAGAGAAUAGGCCCAAGCGACUGUUUACCAAAAACAUAGGUUUCUGCUAAGUCGCAAGACGAUGUAUAGGAGCUGACGCCUGCCCGGUGCUGGAAGGUUAAGGGGAUCUGUUAGAGCAAUCGAAGCAGUGAACUUAAGCCCCAGUAAACGGCGGCCGUAACUAUAACGGUCCUAAGGUAGCGAAAUUCCUUGUCGGGUAAGUUCCGACCCGCACGAAAGGCGUAACGAUUUGGGCACUGUCUCAACAACAGACUCGGUGAAAUUGUAAUUCCGGUGAAGAUGCCGGAUACCUGCGACAGGACGGAAAGACCCCAUGGAGCUUUACUGUAGCUUGACAUUGGGUCUUGGUACUACAUGUACAGGAUAGGUGGGAGGCUUUGAAACCAGGACGCCAGUUUUGGCGGAGCCAUCCUUGGGAUACCACCCUUGUAGUACUGGGACUCUAACCAUAGGCCAUGAAUCUGGUCUUGGGACACUGUCAGGUGGGCAGUUUGACUGGGGCGGUCGCCUCCCAAAAGGUAACGGAGGCGCUCAAAGGUUCUCUCAGUACGGUCGGAAAUCGUACGUAGAGUGUAAAGGCAAAAGAGAGCUUGAUUGCAAGACAUACAGGUCGAGCAAGGAUGAAAAUCGGACUUAGUGAUCCGGUGGUUCUGCGUGGAAGGGCCAUCGCUCAACGGAUAAAAGCUACCCUGGGGAUAACAGGCUUAUCUCCCCCAAGAGUCCACAUCGACGGGGAGGUUUGGCACCUCGAUGUCGGCUCAUCACAUCCUGGGGCUGUAGUAGGUCCCAAGGGUUGGGCUGUUCGCCCAUUAAAGUGGUACGCGAGCUGGGUUCAGAACGUCGUGAGACAGUUCGGUCCCUAUCCGUCGCAGGCGUAGGAAAUUUGAGAAGACCUGUCCUUAGUACGAGAGGACCGGGAUGGACGUACCUCUGGUGUACCAGUUGUUCUGCCAAGGGCAUGGCUGGGUAGCUAUGUACGGAAUGGAUAAGCGCUGAAAGCAUCUAAGCGCGAAGCCAACUUCAAGAUAAGAUUUCCCACCGCAAGGGUAAGACCCCAGAAAGACUAUCUGGUUGAUAGGUCGAAGGUGUAAGUGCAGCAAUGUAUUUAGCUUAUCGAUACUAAUAGGUCGAGGACUUGACCAA
rnacentral:rRNA from 1 species